GAUGAACGCUGGCGGCGUGCCUAAUACAUGCAAGUCGAGCGAACAGAUAAGGAGCUUGCUCCUUUGACGUUAGCGGCGGACGGGUGAGUAACACGUGGGUAACCUACCUAUAAGACUGGAAUAACUCCGGGAAACCGGGGCUAAUGCAGGAUAACAUGUUGAACCGCAUGGUUCUACAGUGAAAGGCGGCUUUGCUGCCACUUAUAGAUGGACCCGCGCCGUAUUAGCUAGUUGGUGAGGUAACGGCUCACCAAGGCAACGAUACGUAGCCGACCUGAGAGAGUGAUCGGCCACACUGGAACUGAGACACGCUCCAGACUCCUACGGGAGGCAGCAGUAGGGAAUCUUACGCAAUGGGCGAAAGCCUGACGGAGCAACGCCGCGUGAGUGAUGAAGGUCUUCGGAGCGUAAAACUCUGCUAUUAGGGAAGAACAAAUGCGUAAGUAACUGUGCGCGUCUUGACGGUAACUAAUCAGAAAGCCACGGCUAACUACGUG
rnacentral:rRNA from 1 species